rnacentral:tRNA from 1 species
UAGCCCAGUUGGUAGAGCAUGGCGCUUGCAACGCCAGGGUUGUGGGUUCGAUUCCCAU